AUGGAAUGCAAUGGUUUUGAGGAGUCUCUGCCAGUCCUUGAGACAGCUGGACACACCCUGGGGUUCUGUAAAACCCAGGGUGGGAACCAUGGGUCUAAGGGAGAAAAAACGGCUCAGGAAGAACCAGCACCAGCAGAUGACAGAGCUGGGGCAGGAGCUGGCGAGCAGUGGCCACGGGGACCCCUGGUGCUCACCGUGGUGUCAGGCUCAGGGGAAUUGAAGGCACCCUACAGGCUGCUGGCGGCCGCACCCUGGCCACUCCAAGGGCUCAUGACACAGCAGUUCUCCAGGGUCCCGUGUAACCCUAAGUCACGGACGCACAUUCAUAGACUCCGCGACAUCACAGACAGGGACGCAAAUAUGCAUAAAGCAAGCAAAACUCGAGUGCCCAGAGUCUGCAGUCAGGCUGGGAGAUGCGCUCAUCACGCCUGUCACGUGUCUGGAGGAGAGACAGAUUCAGCGAGAAAGAGAACCUUCUCUCCUCCAGCCAGACACCACUGUGGGGCUGCUUCUCAAUGGCCGUGGGGUCAGGUGCCCCACCAGAGCACAGCGAGCCCCCCACUGACUCCCACAUACACAAGGCACCUCUGCAGAGGAAAUCCUGGCAGCCACUCACCCGCGGCUGGACCAGGUCCCACACCCAGUGCUGGGAUGGCCAGGCUGAGCUGGCCACACACGGAGACUGAGGCAGGUCCAAGGGGAGUUUGGAGUUUUGUUCAUGAAAGCCUCAAAUCCUGUCUGGGGUACAGACGGGUGGUGCAGUGGGUUAAGAACUGCUGGCUGCAACGCCGACAUCCCACGCUGGAGCACUGGUUCCUGUGCCAAGUGCUCCACUUCUGGCCCAGCUUCCUGAUAAUGAACCUGGGAAAGCAGCAAGGGAUGGCCCAGGCACUCAGGCCCAUUAAACAAUGUGGGAGACCCGGAUGGAGCCCCGUACUCCUGCCUUCAGCCUGGCCCAGCUCCAGCAUUUGCAGCCACUUGGAGAAUGAACCAUGGAUGAAACUUCAGGAUGGGUCAUACCAGGGACUGGCAAGGCUCAAAGCCUGCUGCCGCCGCCGCCAAGGGUCUGCAGAAAGAAGCAGGGCUGGAGCCGCGUGUGGCGUGGGGACCUCCCACAGGGGCAGGGGCGAGCCCCUCGGGGCUGCACCAGCUCCACAAACAUCCCUGCUCCGAGUGGGCCUCUCAACCCUUGGGAAUGCACAGGGGUGGAGGCAGCAACGAAUUGUUUUAUUUGCUAGGACUCCGAGCUACAACCUGCAACAAAUCAGUGUGAAAUGA
rnacentral:lncRNA from 1 species